GGGGUUGUGGCUCAGAGGUAGAGCGCUCACCUAGCAUGUGUGAGGCCCUGGGUUUGAUUCUCAACACCA
rnacentral:tRNA from 1 species